rnacentral:lncRNA from 1 species
UUCCACUACGUAACUAUUAAACAAGAAUCUCUAAUAUCAUUAUGCAAACACAAAAAAAAUCGGAGUCCUUAAUGAUCAAACUCAGUCGGAAGAUGACUCCCCCGGUGAGAAUUGCAGUUCUCCAAGCGUUUGUAUUCACCGAUUCGGGCGGAGUGCAGUACGUGAACCAGAACCGAUCCGAUCAUUGGCAUCAGUUUUUUUCUUUCACAAAUGUUGAAAUGGUUAUGAAAAAAGAGAUCUCCGCCAUUGUCAUCGUCUAAUUUCUUUCUUUCACAAAUGUUG